CCUCCCUGAAGUCAGCGCCGGACGGGUGACUAACACGUGGGUAACCCGCCUGUAAGACUUGGAUAACUUCGGGAAAACGGGGCUAAUACCGGAUGCUUGAUUGAACCGCCUGGUUCAAUUAUAAAAGGUGGGUUUUAGCUACCACUUACAGAUGGACGCGCGGCGCAUUAGCUAGUUGGUGAGGUAACGGCUCACCAAGGCGACGAUGCGUAGCCGACCUGAGAGGGUGAUCGGCCACACUGGGACUGAGACACGGCCCAGACUCCUACGGGAGGCAGCAGUAGGGAAUCUUCCGCAAUGGACGAAAGUCUGACGGAGCAACGCCGCGUGAGUGAUGAAGGUUUUCGGAUCGUAAAACUCUGUUGUUAGGGAAGAACAAGUACCGUUCGAAUAGGGCGGUACCUUGACGGUACCUAACCAGAAAGCCACGGCUAACUACGUGCCAGCAGCCGCGGUAAUACGUAGGUGGCAAGCGUUGUCCGGAAUUAUUGGGCGUAAAGCGCGCGCAGGCGGUUUCUUAAGUCUGAUGUGAAAGCCCCCGGCUCAACCGGGGAGGGUCAUUGGAAACUGGGGAACUUGAGUGCAGAAGAGGAGAGUGGAAUUCCACGUGUAGCGGUGAAAUGCGUAGAGAUGUGGAGGAACACCAGUGGCGAAGGCGACUCUCUGGUCUGUAACUGACGCUGAGGCGCGAAAGCGUGGGGAGCGAACAGGAUUAGAUACCCUGGUAGUCCACGCCGUAAACGAUGAGUGCUAAGUGUUAGAGGGUUUCCGCCCUUUAGUGCUGCAGCAAACGCAUUAAGCACUCCGCCUGGGGAGUACGGUCGCAAGACUGAAACUCAAAGGAAUUGACGGGGGCCCGCACAAGCGGUGGAGCAUGUGGUUUAAUUCGAAGCAACGCGAAGAACCUUACCAGGUCUUGACAUCCUCUGACAACCCUAGAGAUAGGGCUUCCCCUUCGGGGGCAGAGUGACAGGUGGUGCAUGGUGUCGUCAGCUC
rnacentral:rRNA from 1 species